rnacentral:rRNA from 1 species
AGUGAACGCUGGCGGUAGGCCUAACACAUGCAAGUCGAACGGCAGCACAGUAAGAGCUUGCUCUUACGGGUGGCGAGUGGCGGACGGGUGAGGAAUACAUCGGAAUCUACUUUUUCGUGGGGGAUAACGUAGGGAAACUUACGCUAAUACCGCAUACGACCUACGGGUGAACGCAGGGGAUCUUCGGACCUUGCGCGAUUGAAUGAGCCGAUGUCGGAUUAGCUAGUUGGCGGGGUAAAGGCCCACCAAGGCGACGAUCCGUAGCUGGUCUGAGAGGAUGAUCAGCCACACUGGAACUGAGACACGGUCCAGACUCCUACGGGAGGCAGCAGUGGGGAAUAUUGGACAAAGGGCGCAAGCCUGAUCCAGCCAUACCGCGUGGGUGAAGAAGGCCUUCGGGUUGUAAAGCCCUUUUGUUGGGAAAGAAAAGCAGCAGGUUAAUACCCCGCUGUUCUGACGGUACCCAAAGAAUAAGCACCGGCUAACUUCGUG